UGUUUUAAUGUCACAGGAAGAACAGAAGUGCCAAUUCCUUCAAGAUAGACUCGGUUCCUGUCAAGGCGGUGAGGUGUGACACCACGGUGGCGUCGUACUGUCCCUUUAAGAAGCCCUUGCGACACUGCCCCAGGUUGUACUGUCCCAGGAACUGUCUUCAUGACAG